rnacentral:rRNA from 2 species
UGACGAGUGGCGGACGGGUGAGUAAUGUCUGGGAAACUGCCUGAUGGAGGGGGAUAACUACUGGAAACGGUAGCUAAUACCGCAUAACGUCGCAAGACCAAAGAGGGGGACCUUCGGGCCUCUUGCCAUCAGAUGUGCCCAGAUGGGAUUAGCUAGUAGGUGGGGUAACGGCUCACCUAGGCGACGAUCCCUAGCUGGUCUGAGAGGAUGACCAGCCACACUGGAACUGAGACACGGUCCAGACUCCUACGGGAGGCAGCAGUGGGGAAUAUUGCACAAUGGGCGCAAGCCUGAUGCAGCCAUGCCGCGUGUAUGAAGAAGGCCUUCGGGUUGUAAAGUACUUUCAGCGGGGAGGAAGGUGUUGUGGUUAAUAACCACAGCAAUUGACGUUACCCGCAGAAGAAGCACCGGCUAACUCCGUGCCAGCAGCCGCGGUAAUACGGAGGGUGCAAGCGUUAAUCGGAAUUACUGGGCGUAAAGCGCACGCAGGCGGUCUGUCAAGUCGGAUGUGAAAUCCCCGGGCUCAACCUGGGAACUGCAUUCGAAACUGGCAGGCUGGAGUCUCGUAGAGGGAGGUAGAAUUCCAGGUGUAGCGGUGAAAUGCGUAGAGAUCUGGAGGAAUACCGGUGGCGAAGGCGGCCUCCUGGAC